rnacentral:rRNA from 1 species
ACGAACGCUGGCGGUGUGCUUAACACAUGCAAGUCGAGCGAGAACCUUGGGGCUUGCCUCAAGGGGAGAGCGGCGAACGGGUGAGUAACACGUGGGCAACCUGCCCCAGACUCUGGGAUAACUCCGGGAAACCGGGGCUAAUACCGGAUACUCCCUCGGGAUCACAUGAUCCUGCGGGGAAAGCUCCGGCGGUCUGGGAUGGGCCCGCGGCCUAUCAGCUUGUUGGCGGGGUAACGGCCCACCAAGGCUUCGACGGGUAGUUGGCGUGAGAGCGUGGCCAACCACACUGGGACUGAGACACGGCCCAGACUCCUACGGGAGGCAGCAGUGGGGAAUAUUGCGCAAUGGGCGAAAGCCUGACGCAGCGACACCGCGUGCGGGAUGAAGGCCUUAGGGUCGUAAACCGCUUUCGGCAGGGACGAAGCGAAAGUGACGGUACCUGCAGAAGAAGGUCCGGCUAACUACGU